UAUGCCAAAUUUUACACUUUUAUUCAGAGGAAUUGUCAAUUAUUGCCAUUUUAGUCACACUACAAUUGUUCCACUUUGCCCCAGAAUCAAAAUGGUACUGUUCCGUUGUCUUGGUUCACACGCCUUAAAUUAAGAAGUAGCUUGCUAGCUAACACAGUCUUUUAAAAGAGGAAUUGUCCACCUUUAUCGUUUUAGUCACAAUCCAGUUGUCUUUUUUCUCCUUUAAGUCCAUUUGAGAUAUCAUCACCCCCGCCCCACAAUCCAAAAUGGCACAAUCCUGUUUGUUUCCUGUUUGUUCAUGAACUAGGAAGUAGCCUGCUAGCUAACACAUGGACAGACAGACAGACAAAUGUGUCCUUUUUUAAAUUGUUUCAGUCACAAUAGUGAUAUUUCAUCCUCUUUAUGAAUCAAAACAGUCCAGUCCUGUGAUCUUACGUGAUCCUCAUUAAACCAGGAAGUAGCCUGCUAAGAUGAUGAAUUAGCUCAGCACUCAGCAAUUCUUUUUUUACUUUUUGUCCUUUCCAUCUCUUCACCUUGUCCUCCGCCCCCCCCCUUCCUGCCUCCCCAGUUUUUCUGUCUCUAUUUUGGACACUGAGAUGGGGGGGGUGGGGUGACAGAAAGGGUGACCCUCAGUCUCUCCAGCUACAAAGUGAAACUAACAAGCGCUGCCUGGAGAACCUUCUUCAAGUGAACCAAACACUUUGGGAACUAUCAAGAACCAUCAAUGGACUGUUUUUUUCUUGUGGCGAAGGUUGUGGUAUUUUUAGAACAGCUGUGAUAGUUCUAUUUUUUUUUGUUGCCGGGAGUCAGCCAUCUUUUUCUGCAACGUAAAAAAAGGAUUUAAUGACUUUCAUGCUUGUUUCUAUGGUAACGCUGUGCUUCCCCGGCCUUUGAAGUGACUGAUGGCUAGCCAAGCCAGCUCCAAGUCCAAGUCUUCUUCGGCAAUGAGCAGCGGCGGGGACACGGCCCCUCCUGCGAGAGCCAAUCAGAGGACGAUUUUAGACGACAUCAUCCUGACCUUCAGCUCGCCCAUGGCGUGGCUGCUGGUGGUGGCUCUGGUCAUCACGUGGACGGCCGUGGCCGUGGUUCUCUUUGACCUUCUGGACUACAAAACGCUCGCAGCAUCAAACUACGGCCAUCUUCACACUCUUACCUACUCUACAGACAACUUUUUUCCAGGGUCUCCCACCUCCCCCUGCCAUCGCCAAGCGAGGUUUGAAGGCCAGAGGAGGCGUCCGCCAAAUAAGGUCCCCCAUCAGCGAGGUGGCCCCGCCACAGGAGAGCACCGACUGGUUGGAGAUGAUGUGGACGUUUGCGGCCGGCUUGGUGGCCCCGGAUGACGAAGACAUUGACGAGGGUGUGGAAGGUAUUCACCAGCUAACCGAAACCUUCACAUCUUUGCACUCCGAGGAACUUUGAUGGAGGGGCAACGUGGAAGAUGAUGUACAGUAGAAAUGGCAGCAAUACUGGAAUCUAAUCAAUAAAAACAGCUAUUAGUCCUUAUUAUCUGUUGCUUCUUGAGUGCCUGAAAUACAGACAUUAAAAGACCGGGCUCUGUUUUAAGAUGUAUUGUGAAGCCUGGGAAUGGAGGGCUUUUUGUGAUGCUCGUAAACAAGCUGUAGGGACAAACACACUCCAGUUGAAGAAUGUAUGUUUUGCACUGUUGAAUCUUAAGGAGGUUUGAAGUCUGGCUUCAAAAUUCACAUCAGACAUGGAACGUUGCGUGUGCCUAGCAGCAUGUCAUAUGUUUUCCAAUCGCUUCCAUUUUAAUCAGU